ACACUGCAGUUGAAAGGAAACUUUCAUAGCAAUGGAACCCAGAAUGAUGCUUGGAAUGCAGGCUGACAGCUGGAACCAUGAGCUGUAUGAGGCAAGCAUUCUGGUCAGCAACCAGGAGCCCUGCUCUACCUGUGUACAGCUCCUAAGAGCAAGAAGUUGAAGAGGAAUGUUGGUCACCUUGAAAGAGGAAAGGGGGAUAGACAGAAGCUUGGGAAUCACAAUAGCCAUAUCAUCAGCGAAGAACUUUCCUUUAGUCACUGACGAGGAUGUUGAACAGGACAGGACCCAGUACUGACCCCUGGAGAACAUCACUGGCUACAGGCCUCCACCUGGACUCUGUGCCACUGGUCAUAACUGCCGGAGUUUCAGAGAAUUCCUCUGGUGGAACCUCUUUUCUGCAGGAAGAGUGAACAGCUUUGUCACAUUUCUGUGCCUGGUGAAGCUGCUGAGACUAAGUACAGGAAGGGGUCCUAUUAGCAGUAAUUCUUCUCACCUUCGAGAAAACAUUCACAGUGAGAACAGAAAGGUAGAAUCUUGAAAUUGUGGCUAAGCUGCUACCUAAAUAACUUUCUGCUUGUUCAGUGUUUGCUUGUAUAACUUUUAAAUAUACUAUUAUAUAAACAU